AUUGAACGCUGGCGGCAGGCCUAACACAUGCAAGUCGAGCGGAUGAAGGGAGCUUGCUCCUGGAUUCAGCGGCGGACGGGUGAGUAAUGCCUAGGAAUCUGCCUGGUAGUGGGGGAUAACGUCCGGAAACGGGCGCUAAUACCGCAUACGUCCUGAGGGAGAAAGUGGGGGAUCUUCGGACCUCACGCUAUCAGAUGAGCCUAGGUCGGAUUAGCUAGUUGGUGGGGUAAAGGCCUACCAAGGCGACGAUCCGUAACUGGUCCGAGAGGAUGAUCAGUCACACUGGAACUGAGACACGGUCCAGACUCCUACGGGAGGCGGCAGUGGGGAAUAUUGGACAAUGGGCGAAAGCCUGAUCCAGCCAUGCCGCGUGUGUGAAGAAGGUCUUCGGAUUGUAAAGCACUUUAAGUUGGGAGGAAGGGCAGUAAGUUAAUACCUUGCUGUUUUGACGUUACCAACAGAAUAAGCACCGGCUAACUUCGUG
rnacentral:rRNA from 1 species